rnacentral:rRNA from 1 species
AUACGGAGGAUGCGAGCGUUAUCCGGAUUUAUUGGGUUUAAAGGGUGCGUAGGCUGUGCGUUAAGUCAGGGGUGAAAUGCCGUCGCUCAACGACGGAGCUGCCCUUGAUACUGGCGUGCUGGAGUACGGAUGCCGUUGGAGGAAUGAGUGGUGUAGCGGUGAAAUGCUGAGAUAUCACUCAGAACACCGAUUGCGAAGGCAUCAGACGAAUCCGUCACUGACGCUGAGGCACGAAAGCGUGGGGAUAGAACAGGAUUAGAUACCCUGGUAUUCCACGCCGUAAACGAUGAUGACUAACCGUCGGCGAUAGACAGCCGGUGGCCAAGCGAAAGCGAUAAGUCAUCCACCUGGGGAGUACGUCGGCAACGAUGAAACUCAAAUGAAUUGACGGGG